UCUUGGACCUAGAGAAUGGAAAUGCCAUAUUUGUCUUUGUCUUUUACUUUUUGACAGCUAACCUAUAUUCAAAGCAUUCUUCAUAACAGAACGCCAACGGAAAAUUCUGAGAGCAGACGAAAACCAAAGUUGAAAUAUUUGAGAGGAACACACAACACCAAUGCAUGAAGGGGAAAAAAAAGUCUUGAAACCUCCUCCAGCUGUGAUGCACGGUGCUAGGAGCAUCGUGGUAUGGGCCCGCUUUGCACACUCUGCUUGCUUCAGUCGAUGCAAAAAUGAAUUCACAAGUGUAUCAAGAUAUUUUGAAGAGGAGACGACAACGAUUUGCCAAUGAUCGCCAAGAACAGAGAGCUGACUUUGCGGCCUUUUCAUCCCGGCGUCGGCAUUCCUGCGUUGCGUCACACUUAAAGGAUUGCAACGCUUUCGGGGACGAGCCGGGCCAAAGGGAGCGCUUUCAUCGGUAGAGCCGGCGCGACGUCGGGCCGCCGUCCAGAAAGUCGGCAGCAGGUGGUCUGCACGCGUUCAAGUGGCAAAGACGCGGCGGGAUAAAUCACGGCCGAUGAGCACUACUCAACACGUUCCCAUACAGCUCCAGUUUUACGGCGUCUUCUCGGGUUUUUGGAUUCCAGAACAAGUGGACCAGAAGCAAUCUCCAAGUCCCAAACUUUUGGAGCCUCUUUUGGGAUGAAUUGUUUCCCGCCUGCCAAGCGUCUGCUGGAAGGAAGGGCGCAGAUAAGGCUGUCUCUCUUCACCCCGUUCAAGCGUCACCUCAUCACCUCGCCGUCCGGCGUCAACGACGGACGGAAGAGGCGAGCUGGGACGCCAGGGGACGGAUAGCGGG